rnacentral:rRNA from 1 species
UGGGGGAUAUUGCACAAUGGGCGAAAGCCUGAUGCAGCGACGCCGCGUGGGGGAUGAAGGCCUUCGGGUCGUAAACUUCUUUUGCUCUGAACAAGGCGCACCAUGGGGUGUGUUGAGUGUAGGGGUUGAUUAGCGCCGGCUAACUACGUGCCAGCAGCCGCGGUAAUACGUAGGGCGCGAGCGUUGUCCGUAAUUAUUGGGCGUAAAGGGCUUGGUGGUGGCUGGUGGCGUCUGUCGUGAAAGCUCAUGGCUUAACUGUGGGUUUGCGGUGGGUACGGGCUGGCUUGAGUGCAGUAGGGGAGGCUGGAACUCCUGGUGUAGCGGUGGAAUGCGCAGAUAUCAGGAGGAAUACCGGUGGCGAAGGCGGGUCUCUGGGCUGUUACUGACACUGAGGAGCGAAAGCAUGGGGAGCGAACAGG